rnacentral:rRNA from 1 species
GAAUUCGCCCUUCGCCCGCCGCGCGCGGGCGGGGCGGGGGCACGGGGGGCCUACGGGAGGCAGCAGCCGCGGUAAUACACGGGAGCCAGCCGCGCGGUAAUACACGGGAGCCAGCCGCCGCGGUAAUACAAGGGCGAAUUC